UGUUUUUUCCCCAUCCCAUACCUGGGUAUAAAAGAAUGUUAAGCAGGUUCAUAGAAGGUUGAAAAUUGCAUUCAGAGAUUUGAGAAGAAUGGUCUAUAUACACCAGAAGCAAUUUGGAGGAAGAGCACACUUUCCAGUAAUCUUCUAGGAGAAGAGAUCACACGAUACUCUGCAACACAUGGGAUCAUUUUUACUUGCAUUAGGGAUGGAAGUAAAUUCUUUAAAUUCUGCCAGUCAAUUUAUCUGUUCACAAAGGGUCAUCCCUCAUUAAGACAAGCUCUUCCUUGGAUUCAACUAAAAAAUGAUAAGAAAGUAUUGGCCUGUUUUCUCCUGAUUCAUUCACCACAACUGGAAAGAGUCAGAAUCUCGACCUCCAGAGUGACUCAAGGAAGGGCUGGCUCCUUUUAAAGCUGAAGAUCUGAUUGACUGAAAGUUCAAGUCAUUGUGCUGUUCAGAAGCAACCUGGAAAACCACAAGGAGGAGGCUGGUGCUACUCAGGUCUUAUCUGACCAGUAUGAUUUUGACCAGAAUUCUUUAAAUUCUGCCAGUCAAUUUAUCUGUUCACAAAGGGUCAUCCCUCAUUAAGACAAGCUCUUCCUUGGAUUCAACUAAA